rnacentral:snRNA from 1 species
GGAUGUGAAGGCGAUCUGGCUGCGACAUUGAUCACCAGGGUUGAUUUGGCUUAUCUGGAUGGCUAGGUGGAUGUUCCAUUCCACCCUCACAGCUCCAUGUGUGCUGGGUGAAGGAGGACGACUUUCCCUGAUAGAGAAGGAUGGUUUUUAGGUCAAGGGUAGCUGUGCUUCCCUGCUAGAACCUCCAGACAAGAUCUCAAGGUCCAAAUAGUCUUUUGGAGGGAAUUUAACCUCAAACAUGCAGUGGCAAUUCGAGGUCUCUCUUG